rnacentral:lncRNA from 1 species
GAGAACCGAGAGGCGCCUCCUAGGAGGCGGGUGGGCAAACGGAGACCUACGCCUCGGGGUCUCCCGGUGCCCCGGCUGGGUCCCGCCCGCCGGCGGAGGGGCGCGUCCUCACUCACCGGUUCCGGUGGCGCCGCUCUCCCGGGGCGCCCAGCACAGCGCGAGCAGCAGCCAGAGCGCCCAGAGCGCGGACGUGCCCAUGGUGCCCGCCUGGAUGGUGCCGCCGCCGCCGCCGCCGCCGCCGUUCGCUCCGCACGACAAGUUACCAGUCCUUCCGAAAGGAGGAAGAAGGUGGGGGCGGGGAGGGGAAAGGGGGAGAAGGAGGGGAAGGAGUUGGCGGGGGAAGGGAGCGGGGAAGAAGAGGGCACCCCCUCCCCUACAACUUGCACAGUCUCCUCCCCACCCACCCAGCCACCUCCCCGGGCUGCAGCAGCAGUGCAAGCCGAGCCUGCGGGCAGAAAAUAAUGCAGGCGCUGCAGAGGAGGGGAGGCAAGGGGAGAGGAGGGAAGGGAGAGGGGGUGGGGAGCCGAGAGCAGAAGAGAGCACAGAACGGAGAGGAGCCGGUAGCGGAGCACCCGCACCGGCGGCGGCCGGAGAGCGGGGUGAGCAGCGGGGAGGGGGCCGGAGGGGGCGUGGUCAACGGGAGGCGCGGCGGGCGGGCGGGAGCGCGGCGGCUUCGGCCCUCCUUUCCCUCGACGCGCUCCUCUUGCACGCGCCGGGCAGCCGGGUGCCCGCGCGGGGAGCGUGCGAGUGUGAGCGUGCGUGAGUGACCGCGGUCGUGGUCGUGGCUGCCGCCGCCGCCACCCGGACCGCUCUAGGGGCCCGGCUGCUCCGCGCGUUCGCCUGGGGCUCACGGGGGCCCGGGGCGACCGCUGGUUGGCUCGCGCGCCGCCCUCGCCUCCAAUCCCGGGUGCCUGUCCUAAUUUCCUGAUCCAGGGAACCUGCCGCCGCAGCGGCUGUGCGCUCCCUACAGUCAUUACUGUACCCUCCCGGCAGCCUCCGGCAGAACACGCAGCAGCAGCAGCAGUUAGCGCUGAUGCAACUAUCGUUGCUGUUGCCACCGCCUCCCCACUGACGGGGCGUGCACCUGGGGGGUACUUGCAGUUUCCAGGGGCAACAAGCAUCUCUCUACCACCCUCUCCUGCGCCCCUGAGAGAGGCUGGCUCCAAGCUUGAUAUAGAAGACUAUCAUAUGAACCAGAAAGGGUAACUGAAACCAAAGAAAUGACUCCAGUAUCAAGCUAAAGACAUGCCUUAAAGGAUGAGGAGGAGCAGAAAUCUUACCAGCAAGGCAAGAAAGAAGCCGUACGUGAACAGCCUCUGCUUUAGGCCCAGAAGGAAAAGAAGCUUACAGGAGACAAUCAGUCUUACACUCUUCCAUGGUCACAAACAAGAGGUCCCUGGAUCUACAGGGGACUUGGUGCUAUCAGAGGAGGUCAUCAUGUUGGAAAACAAGUUUUUUUAAAAGUAGAAGUCAUAAAGUUGAAGAAUUCAGUGACUUUUGCAGGGAAAGAAGUACCUGAUUUAUGAACAGUCAUUAUCCUGAACUAUUUUGUAGAAAUGAUGUAACUGAUUGAUUUUUAAUAAGCAUUCAAAGUGUUACACAGCAAGUUUUGAUGCUUCCAACUGGACGAUGAGUAUCUAGGCCCACAUGCAAUAUGACUUUGCAACUCAUCCCAUCAGAGGAUGGAAACUAUUUCUUCACCCCCUUGAACCUGGGCUGGCUUUGUAAUUUGUUUUGGCCAAUAGAAUGUGGUGGAAGUGAUGGUGUUACCAGAAAGAGUUCCCAAUCCAGACUCGUGCGAGAAAGAAUUUGAGAAAUGAAAGAACCAGAGCAUUAUAGCAGAACGAAUCCUGGAAUGGGAAUGGAAUGCCUGGAUUUGUGGCACAGUUGGGAAGCGUCCUGGCCAUGCCAUGUUAAAGCUGUCUCCAAGGCAGUGAUUCUUACCCUUGGCUACACAUUGGAGUCAUUUGGGAAGCUAGAAAAAAAAAAUGCCCAGGACCUGGGCAAGACGGCUGAAUAAGAACAGCUCUGGUCUGCAGUUCCUAGCAAGAUCAACGCAGAAGGGAAGCUGGCAGCCUGGGCUCUUGGAGAUUGUAUCUGGUGCCGGAGAGGACUGGCUCCCACACUCAGUGAGGGAGGAAUUUUACUGACCCAGCAUCCAGAUGAACUUUGGUGAGGAGAGGAGGACAUAAGAGCCUGGUGGUUGAUGAUGGAAGAGAUGAAACUGUGAAGAGACCGAAGAAGCUAAUCUAUCAAUAGUUAAGAUUCCAUUUCUAAAAGAUCUUACUUUGAGUCUACCUAUGCCUGGGAUGUCAAGAGGUGCUGAGGAUUGAUUGGUGAAGACAGAGAGGGUCUUGGUUCUAACUGAGCUCACAUUCUAAAAGAGAAAAUAGAAAAUAAACACGAAAAACGAAUGGGAUCACUUCAGAAAUUGAAAAGGUCUAUAAGAAAAACAAAACAGGGUGUGUGAUAGAGGGUUGGGGAGGCUGUGACCAUGGAAGGCCUAAGAAAGUGAUAUUUGAAAUGAAACUUGAGUUGCAGAAGGGAGCCAGCUGUGCAAGGCUGAGGACCAAAUAUUUCAGGAGGGAACGGCCAAGGCAGAAAUGAGCAUGGCCUGCUGGAGACCGAGAAUGAACUGUUAGUGGGUUCCCACUGCACAGGGCCUGGGGAGGCUACCCAUGCUCAUCUCAUGGUAAUGUGCCAGCAACUCAGCCUACUGGCAUCAUGAUGAAUCUCCGGGCUGCUAACUGGGCUUCAUGUUGCAUAGGUGAACUGUCCCGCCACCUGCUUGAGGCUGGCAGAGCCCAGGGGGUGAG